UCAAAACAAACACACUUGCAUCAAAAUAGAAUGGAGAACCUGCAUGCCCUGCCCCGUGUCCCGCUGAACCAAUGACAGUCUGUCUUGUGUUGCCAUGACAACCACCAGUGUGUGUGUGUGGGUGUGUGUGGGUGGGGGGGGGGGGGCAAUAAGAGUAUUUGAUUUUAUUGAUCUUCCGUGAAGCCGCCAUCACUGCCUAAUUUACCAUAGGAAGGUUUGAAAGUGGCUCUGGAUAUUCCCCCAACCUAGCUGAUCAUGGGUGGAGAAUUUCAAAGCUUGUUCUUUUAUCAAAUGUGCUGGGGGGCACACAAAAAGUCAGCUUGAAGAAUUUUGCCUGCAGUUCGUACCCCUGGCCAUUUCUAGAGGUCUCACACCAUCCACUUGCUCUGUAACACCGUAGUUGGCGGUUUGCCAGGCAGUUGUCUUACCUCUCCUGUUUUGAAAGCGGCAGCU